GCUUCUGUAGUGUAGUCCGGUCAAACUCAAGCGUGAGCAAUUUUGACUCUCACCCUCGCGACCCGGGUUCAAAUCCCGGCAGAAGCACCA
rnacentral:tRNA from 1 species